rnacentral:rRNA from 1 species
GUCGAGGAUCUUCGGCAAUGGGCGCAAGCCUGACCGAGCGACGCCGCGUGUGCGAUGAAGGCCUUCGGGUUGUAAAGCACUGUCGAGGGGGAGGAAGCCGAAAGGUUGACCUAUCCCUGGAGGAAGCACGGGCUAAGUUCGUGCCAGCAGCCGCGGUAAGACGAACCGUGCAAACGUUGUUCGGAAUCACUGGGCUUAAAGGGCGCGUAGGCGGGCCGCAAAGUCCGGGGUGAAAUCCUCCAGCUUAACUGGAGAAGUGCCUUGGAUACUGGCGGCCUCGAGGAGGGUAGGGGCAUCUGGAACAGCCGGUGGAGCGGUGAAAUGCGUUGAUAUCGGCUGGAACUCCGAUGGCGAAGGCAAGGUGCUGGACCCUUUCUGACGCUGAGGCGCGAAAGCCAGGGGAGCGAACGGGAUUAGAAACCCCUGUAGUCC